CUUAAGCAGGGGGACACAUCUGGCACUGCAGGAUUUGAGUCCCUGGCGGCGUAGUGUGUUACUGAUGGUAGACUUUGUUACUUUGGUCCCAGCUCUCUGCAGGUCAUUCACUAGGUCCCCCCGUGUGGUUCUGGGAUUUUUGCUCACCGUUCUUGUGAUCAUUUUGACCCCACGGGGUGAGAUUUUGCGUGGAGCCCCAGAUCGAGGGAGAUUAUCAGUGGUCUCGUAUGUCUUCCAUUUCCUAAUAAUUGCUCCCACAGUUGAUUUCUUCAAACCAAGCUGCUUACCUAUUGCAGAGUCAGUCUUCCCAGCCUGGUGCAGGUCUACAAUUUUGUUUCUGGUGUCCUUUGACAGCUCUUUGGUCUUGGCCAUAGUGGAGUUUGGAGUGUGACUGUUUGAGGUUGUGGACAGGUGUCUUUUAUACUGAUAACAAGUUCAAACAGGUGCCUUUAAUACAGGUAACGAGUGGAGGACAGAGGAGCCUCUUAAAGAAGUUACCGGUCUGUGAGAGCCAGAAAUCUUGCUUGUUUGUAGGUGACCAAAUAGUUAUUUUCCACCAUAAUUUGCAAAUAAAUUAAUUAAAAAAUCAUAUGUGAUUUUCUGGAUUUUUUUCCUCAUGUUGUCUGUCAUAGUUGAAGUGUACCUAUGAUGAAAAUUACAGGCCUCUCUCAUCUUUUAAGUGGGAGAACUUGCACAAUUGGUGGCUGACUAAAUACUGUUUUGCCCCACUGUAGGGCACUACUUUUGACCUGGUCUAUAGGGACUAUGGUGCUAUUUGACCUGGUCUAUAGGGACUAUGGUGCUAUUUGACCUGGUCUAUAGGGAAUAGGGUGCUAUUUGACCUGGUCUAUAGGGAAUAUGGUGCCUUUUGACCUGGUCUAUAGGGAAUAUGGUGCUAUUUGACCUGGUCUAUAGGGAAUAUGGUGCCUUUUGACCUGGUCUAUAGGGAAUAGGGUGCUAUUUGACCUGGUCUAUAGGGAAUAUGGUGCCUUUUGACCUGGUCUAUAGGGAAUAGGGUGCUAUUUGACCUGGUCUAUAGGGAAUAGGGUGCCUUUUGACCUGGUCUAUAGGGAAUAUGGUGCUAUUUGACCUGGUCUAUAGGGAAUAGGGUGCUAUUUGACCUGGUCUAUAGGGAUUAGGGUGCUAUUUGACCUGGUCUAUAGGGACUAUGGUGCUAUUUGACCUGGUCUAUAGGGAAUAGGGUGCUAUUUGACCUGGUCUAUAGGGAAUAGGGUGCUAUUUGACCUGGUCUAUAGGGACUAUGGUGCUAUUUGACCUGGUCUAUAGGGAAUAGGGUGCUAUUUGACCUGGUCUAUAGGGAAUAGGGUGCUAUUUGACCUGGUCUAUAGGGAAUAGGGUGCUAUUUGACCUGGUCUAUAGGGACUAUGGUGCUAUUUGACCUGGUCUAUAGGGAAUAGGGUGCUAUUUGACCUGGUCUAUAGGGACUAUGGUGCUAUUUGACCUGGUCUAUAGGGACUAUGGUGCUAUUUGACCUGGUCUAUAGGGAAUAGGGUGCUAUUUGACCUGGUCUAUAGGGAAUAGGGUGCUAUUUGGGACAGAUCCUUUGUUCAUUCGUGAAGCUGGUGUUGACACCCAUGAAAAAAGAUACCACAAAUAGGUCGAAAAAAAGAUUCGUUGGCCUUGGUUCAUUUUCAUGGAGUGUACAUUUACACAUUUAUAUUGUGUGUGGGUGAAAACAAGUAAAAUGGAACAAAGGCUUGCUGUGUUUCUUCACGGUCUUCCUCCUCCCUGGGCCUGCUGUUUCAACACAGCACCAAGAACCUGUCUGUCUCCCUGCCUGUCUGUCUCCCUCUUUUCUCCCACUCUUUACCCUUUUGCAGUGUGUGAAACUACACAAUGUCUUGCAGGAACCUGCACAAUGUUAUUACAAUACAUUUUUUGAUACGUAAAAAAAAUCCAGUAUUUUCCCAGACUACCCUAGCCAUGUACAACAAAUAAAUAGCUUUCCAUGUGUAGCUUCUUACCACACUCAAUCAUGGCAAAAAUAAUCUCUACUCAGAGGGCCUUAGAAAUAUUUUUUGCAGAGCGACGCUACUGUGGAAGGAGCAUCAUCCACUUUGGAAGAUGAAGAAAUUGGUCUUCUUGCCAAAGGAAUGAGCCACCCACGCGCGGCUGCCAAUGUGUUAAAACCUUUUUAUGGAGCAUGCGAAUUUUCGCAGUCUUUAAAAAAAAAUCGCGCAACAUUUCAGCGCCCUGCUAUUCAUGCCAGGAAUAUAGUACGUUCAUUUGGUUAGUGUGUGUGGCUAGGAAACAGUCAGACCUUUCCAAAACUGUUUAAAUCACGCCUGUGCCAUUUACAGAACGUGCGUUUCCGUCGAAUAGUGCAUGAAAAUCUGUUCACUGAAAAUGUAAAAAUAUAUUCUUCUGCGCCUGCAGGCAAUUGUUUACAGAGAACAGAAUUAAAUAGAGCCGAGUUCUCAUUGGCUACAGCUUCCCCAUGCUGUCUAGAGUUACGUCAUUAGUUUCGCAAUUGAUUCUUGGUCUAACCCAAACAAGGGAACUACUUUCCUACUGGCACCGCCCAGAUUUUGGGGCGACCAUUUCCAAACAUAUUUUUCUCCACGGACAAGCUAACGAUUUCACACCGCCUCCUGAGGUAUUUUAUCGCUUAUUAACGUGUACUAAUACCUAAAGUUGCAUUACAAAAGUAUUUAGAAGUGUUUUGUGAAAGUUUAUCGUCGACUUUUGGCAUUUUAAAAAAUGACGUUACGUUAUGAAAUGCUAAUUUUUUCCUCCAAUUCCAAGGUAUUCCUAGCUCGAUAUCUAGGCUAUAUAUGGACCGAUUUAAUCGAAAAAAGACCCUAAAUGAUGUUUAUGGGACAUCUAGGAGUGCCAAGAAUGAAGCUCGUCAAAGGUAAGGAAUGUUUUAUAUUUUAUUUCAGCCUUUUCGUUUGCGAGCGCCAACGAAAAAUCUGUCGUUUUUGUGACGUUGCAGUAUGUGAGGCUGCAUGGUACAGAUAAUAGCGUCUCAUGCUUUCCCCGAAAAGCAUUUUACAAAUCUGACUUGGUGCAUAGAUUCACAGCGAGUGUAGCUUUAAUUUGGUAUAUUGGAUGUCAAUUUUUAUGAAAUUUGGAUUUUUAUCAUAAACUAUGCGUGGUGCACUUGAAAAUUCGAUUCCCACUGGGGAAGCGCUUCCAUAACAAGUUUGAUGUGACCAGGUCCGACGCAGAUGGUGGUUACUCAUGUGCAGGACACAGUCUUCUCUUGAACUGUUCAUCCCAGACACCAUCCAGAAAACCAUUCUGGACUAAUUUGGAGGGAAGGAGUGUUUUUGGAGAGAGCUGGACCAUACUUUUGGGUUCUUAUCCUUGCUGGUGUUUUCAGAUCCAAUGGGGAAUCUCCAGAAUCCCUGUGAGAUGCAGAAACUGGCAUAACUUUUCUGUGCAAAAAAAGCUUCCACAUUAUUUCCAGGAUUAUCCGCUUCGAUAACAGACACCAGCUCGGCGAGAUGAGCUAGCUGUAAUCAGGUCAGUGCAGAGAGACAAGCUAGCUGUAAUCAGGUCAGUGCAGAGACAAGCUAGCUGUAAUCAGGUCAGUGCAGAGACAAGCUAGCUGCUAUCAGGUCCGUGCAGAGAGACAAGCUAGCUGUAAUCAGGUCCGUGCAGAGAGACAAGCUAGCUGCAAUCAGGUCAGUGCAGAGACAAGCUAGCUGUUAUCAGGUCCGUGCAGAGAGACAAGCUAGCUGCAAUCAGACAAGUAGGUGGACUGCCAACCCGUUUUACAAGCCCAACGUUAACAACGUUACUGUUGAUGAGCAGCUUAUGCCAUUUAGGGGCCGCUGCCCCUUCAGGCAGUACUUACUCUCUAAACCCGCAAAAUAUGGAAUGAAGAGCUGGGCUGCCUGUGAUGCUGCUUCAUCAUAUGUGUGGAACUUGCGAGUGUAAACCAGUUGGAGGAGCCAGAUGGAGGAGCCAGAUGUAGGAGCCAGAUGGGUGAACCAGUUGGAGGAGCCAGAUGGGUAAACCAGUUGGAGGAGCCAGAUGGGGAACCAGUUGGAGGAGUCAGAUGGAGGAGCCAGAUGGGUAAACCAGUUGGAGGAGUCAGAUGGAGGAGCCAGAUGGGGAAAACCAGAUGGAGGAGCCAGAUGGGGAAAACCAGAUGGAGGAGUCAGGUGGAGGAGUCAGGUGGAGGAGCCAGUUGGAGGAGCCAGAUGGAGGAGCCAGAUGGGGAAAACCAGAUGGAGGAGCCAGAUGGGGAAAACCAGAUGGAGGAGUCAGGUGGAGGAGCCAGAUCGGUAAACCAGUUGGAGGAGUCCGAUGGAGGAGCCAGAUGGGGGAGCCAGAUGGAGGAGCCAGAUGGGGGAGCCAGAUGGGGGAGCCAGAUGGGGGAGCCAGUUGGAGGAGCCAGUUGGAGAAACCAGAUGGAGGAGUCAGAUGGAGGAGCCAGAUGGGAAAAACCAGUUGGAGGAGUCAGAUGGGGAACCAGUUGGAGGAGCCAGUUGGAGGAGUCCCUGAGAAGAACCAAGGGAUGUGGGUUGUCCUGGACGUGAUACAGGGACUCCGUUGCCACAACACCACAUUCAAUAACUUCUUUACUAAACACAAGCUGGGACAGGAGCUCCUCAAGAGGAGGCUGACGGCGGUAGGAACAGUAUGAAAAAACAAGCCAGAGCUCCCACCUCAGGCCUGUUCAGUGUAAUAAAUACAACAGCUAUCAAUUCCUCUAAGUUUGUGUUCACGGUCGACACGUCUCGUGUCCUAGAGGCAAAAAUGUGGUACUCAUGAGUACGCUGCAUAGGGAUGGGAUAAUCUGUGGCCAGGAACAUCAAAAAACCGAUAUCAUCAUGGAUUGUAAUGCCUCAAAAGGAUGGAUGGACAAUUUAGACAAGCUGGUGACUGGCUACAGCUGCAGAGGAAGAACCCUACGCUGGCAUCUUGUGAUAUCCUUCAACAUGUUGGACAUCUCGGCGUACAACACGUUUGAACCCAGAUUGGACCAGGGGGAAGCUCCAGAGGAGACGGCUCUUUCUAGAGGAGCUGGACAAGGCAUUGGUUAGACCUCAAAUCCAGAGGAGGCAAUAUAUCCCAAGGACCACAGCUUCUACAGCCAUCAUUAGGAGGGUUCAGGAGGAUGCUGGUGCCCCAUCUGCUCGACCCACAGGACCAACAACUCCAAUACCGGAAGUAUUGCAGCCGGUAGCAACAAGAAGAAGCACUGUGAUGUGUGUGGACCCAAGAAGGACAUGAAGACACAGUGCACAUGCAUCAAGUGCAAUAAAUACAUUUGCAACACACACAGUAAAACUCCUGUCCCUCAUGUGGUGUGAAGACCGGCCUUAAUGUGUUCAAUGGGGCUCAUUUAUCAUUUCCAUAAUAUACUGUAUGUAAACUCUGUCCAGUUCAGUUCAAAGCAAUAAACAUCAAUAGAGAUGAAAACCUUGUUUCAUUUAUAUUUGUUCAAGAUAUACAUGAUUUAUUCCACCCAUGUCUUGAUUAUUUAUUUCUGUUUACAACACGAGCCACGGUAAAUGGUAACUAUGUAUGCUGUCUAUAUUGCUUGUAACGGAUCUAAGCAUUUUUACGGCUGUAUUGUUUAAAAAAACAAUGUUGUGGGUCCAUCAGACCUGCGAACGUUGGGUGAAUAACAAAAAGACCACAGGAGGGUUAAGAGAAAGGGCGUGGCCAGUUGCUACUGUGUUCCGGGCAGCGUUGUAACCCGACACCGUCCUAGAUGGCAGGGUUUAUGGGAAAAGACAGCAUUGGAAUUCACUGAUGCAUGCAUGGUAAGGUGUUUCCCACAUUCUGGUCAUGGAUGUGAACGUUACUAAAACAUUUGAACCCUGGAGUCUGAUGGUUGAAAUAGACAUUUAAAAAAGCUUGUUGCUGUGUAGCCAAUACAAGAGUAAUUUAACCAUUUAAGGAAACUACAUAAAACCAGUUUAUUCGUAGAUUACACUUUUACAUAAAGGAAUUGUAUACUUGACAAUUUCAUUCAAAAUAAACUGGUCAUGAAAUUUUGUUUUGUUGUUUAAACCAAAUACAAUGCCUGUUUCCAUUUUUGUACAAUGAAAAAUAUUUUUCCACUUCUUAAAAAGUACAGUAUGUACAUCAUGGAAACAUUACAACUCCUGUCCUCACACAUGGUAGGACAUUUCAAGUCAUUUCUUAUAAAAAAUAUAACAUUUAAUUUUGCCCUCUGAAAACAGAUGAACAGCAUUACAGAUUGGCAAUGCAUAGCAGGCCUAGUUCAGAUCUCUGCCUUUUCAACGUGGAUGCAAAGCAAAAUAGAAUGGACAACGUAAGAA